rnacentral:rRNA from 1 species
AUGAGAAGAAUGGAAAGACAACCAAAUCAGGAAAUUUCGGAUCCAAUGGCUACAAUUGGGCUUGAACCUUCGGUUGAUGGACACAACUCAAACAGAAAAAGAGUGCUUGCUCCUCCGGUUGAUGGACUCCAACUUGUUAAAAAACGAUCAAAUAAUUUACAGAACAAGCCAAGUGGAUCAAGCGAUGUAGAUUUGCAAGCAUCAAACAAGAAUUCUGUUUCAGAUAAGAACAAAGAAACUAUGGUUCAUAAUGGUGGCAGUGCACGGCAACUAGAAAAAUGUUCUGUUGCACACAAGAAUGUUGUCCAGAACCAAGAAACUUAUGAUCAUAAUUUCAGUGCUUUGCAAGGGGAAAUAAAUUCUGCUGCACAUAAGGUAUAUUUCCGUUACCAUAUACAAUAUGUUCAAAAUACAUUGCUCCGAUGGUUAUGUAUCUACUGGCCGUCUUGCUAUCAGAAUGCUGUUCAGAACAAAGAAACUUUGCUUGAGACUGUCAGUGCACGUUAG